GGCGAACGCUGGCGGCGUGCUUAACACAUGCAAGUCGAACGGAAAGGCCCUGCUUUUGUGGGGUGCUCGAGUGGCGAACGGGUGAGUAACACGUGAGUAACCUGCCCUUGACUUUGGGAUAACUUCAGGAAACUGGGGCUAAUACCGGAUAGGAGCUCCUGCUGCAUGGUGGGGGUUGGAAAGUUUCGGCGGUUGGGGAUGGACUCGCGGCUUAUCAGCUUGUUGGUGGGGUAGUGGCUUACCAAGGCUUUGACGGGUAGCCGGCCUGAGAGGGUGACCGGCCACAUUGUGACUGAGAUACGGCCCAGACUCCUACGGGAGGCAGCAGUGGGGAAUAUUGCACAAUGGGCGGAAGCCUGAUGCAGCAACGCCGCGUGCGGGAUGACGGCCUUCGGGUUGUAAACCGCUUUCGCCUGUGACGAAGCGUGAGUGACGGUAAUGGGUAAAGAAGCACCGGCUAACUACGUG
rnacentral:rRNA from 1 species